rnacentral:sRNA from 1 species
UAUCUUGCUCGAGUUCUCGUUGGUCAAC